AGAUUUUCGUAUAGGUAUAUGUACAUACGUAUUUUAAUUAAAAGUAGAAAAUAUUGUAUUCAUUAUUUAAAAUCACAGUCAAGAAAAUACGCUGUUGUUAGAAAGAUAUUGUUUUUGAAUUUCAUUAACUUGUAGUUUCUUACAAAUUGACCCCUAGAAGUCAACUGGGUGUUCGAAAAAAUUUACGUAUAUUUUAUAUUAUGUAUAUGAGGGCUAAUCGUGAUAUUGAUCCCAUUUUCACAUUGCCAUCACAAAAAUAUUCUCCCUGAAUUUCAAUAUUAGAAUUCUCAGAUUGAUUGUUCGCUAAAAAAUCAGCUAAAUGCACUGGGGUCCAGAUAUUUGGCGUCUGAGUCCUUGAAAAGUUAUAGUUCGUUUUCCACAAUUUUUGGUCAUAAGAUUAAAUAACUUUAAGGCACUAGUUGUGCAGUUGUUUUUUAAGAGAAGUGGGCGUGGUUGUUGUCCAAUUUCGACAAUUUUCAUAGUGUAUGAUAGAAAUGGUUGGAUUACUUUACACACCAAAUUUUGUUAAAAUUGGUUGGUUAGUUUCUGAGAUAUACGAUUUCACCUAAAGGUGGGUGGAGCCACGUCCAUUGUCUAAUUUUUACACCCAAACUUAUAAAGCUCUUCCCCACCAUCUUAGUUGUAAGGCUUGUGGCGCAUUUAUUCAGUGAGUUAUCGCACUUAUAGUAGUUUUCAACAUAACCCUUAUAUGGAUAGGCGUGAUUAUUAUCUGAUUUUAUCCGUAAGAAGAAGUACUAGAAACACUUCUUCCCAUUAAGUUUGGUAGACGUCCGGUGUGUUUAACGUGAGUACCUGCCAUCGACGGCCUUAUCUCACCGUGCUCAAAAGCACAGCAUAUUAAAACAAUGCGUUGAUCAGCGCUCCGAAAAUGCCAGGCAUUUUUCAGUACCGAUUGGUAGUGUGGAAUGGAAACACUACACACCUUGGUGAGGUUCGAGGCCUAUCUAAAACCUUUGCCGUACUUUGGGUCCGGCACCCGGUUGCAAUGUAACUCCACAUUCAACUGACAAAACGUCAGUUCUUCCCGAAUUUGGGUAUAAACCACAACCACCACUAUACUCCCCGAAGGUCCAGUCCGCAUGAGCAGGUUGGAACGAACUCCAAGGGCCCUUUCUCCCCGUGGUACCAGAAUUAAGUCUCCGGUCAAAUCUCGUAGCCGAAGCUACUACCAGUUGAGCCUCCAUACAGCUCUGGACUGGUAACCAAGGGUUGAACCCCAUACGCACAUUACUCGCACACACCUUUCACACAAGAAGCUAAACCUAAUUCUCAGUUAAACGCCACCGCUGCCUAAACAACUCACCCGCAAACGACCUGUUCGGCAUUCCGACUAGUGGAGAUCACACCGCUGACAUCUAACAUCCCGAUCGUUAGGACUAUUGUCCCAACGGUCUUGCCACCUACUCCUAACCUCUUGCCCCUAGAAAUCCCUCCCUCUCCACAUCAUUUUCGGAAAUCGAAGUAAGUUUGGUAGAGUUAACUUCAGUGGUUUGGAAAAUAUGUACAUUAAACCAUUUAGAGGGUGGGGUCACGCCAACUACGCUCAUCUGCAUUAACGACCUCUUUUGGGUGCCAAGGGAAAAUAUAUAACAAGUUCCUCACUUUUAGUCAAGUUAUCGCUUGCACGGACAGACUGAUGGACAAAUAGUCAACCGGAUUUCAACGUGAUCAUUUAUAUAUACAAUAAUAUAUAUGUGUAUAUAUAACUCUAUAUCUAUCUUUAUAAGUUUUAUAUGAUACAAACAAUCGUGUGGUGAACAAAACUAGUAUACUCUGGCGCAACAUGUUGCUAGAGUAUAAUAAUUUAGAAAAUCUGUAAAAAAUUGUUUGUUUUUAAAAAAAAAGCCUUCAAUUACAUAUCUUGAUUUCUUCCACCAAGGUCUAAUUACUCCUAAAAAUAAAUAAGCACAACUGCUAUCUAACAUAUUAUUAGCCUAAAGUAACAAAUUAUUUUCAAUAUCAAAGUAAAUUAUAAAAAUAUUUUUUCAAGUUGUUCUUUUAAUUAUAUAUAACAUUAUUUUUUGCUUUAUGUCCUUAUGUAUAUAUAAAAUUUGUGUGUACACAUUUUUGGAAUAUCGAAAAAUACAAAAAUACUGUGUAUGUAUGUAUUUUGUAACAUAAAUAUUGUUUAACUUAAAUUUUUACACUUACGUACAACAAAAAUGUAAGUAAAACGGAAACAGCGAAAUAAAUUAACUUUUGCUCAUACUACUACAUUUUAAGAUUAUGCGUUUAAGUGGAUUAUACAUUUCACGUACAUAGGUAUGUACCUCAGUGUGUAUAUGGAUGUAUAUGUUAGCUGUUAAGCAAAUAAACUUUUGCUCGCUACAGCGACAAAUUGGGUCAAUAUCUCCCAAAUGAGCACCGAAACAUAAGUGUAAUAGCAAAAUACAUAAGCAUAUACAUAUAUACAUACACAUAAGCGAGUAUAUAUAAAUAACAUUUUAAGUAUCUCUAUUGUUAUACUAUAUACUAUAUAGUAAAAGUGUAUAUAAGUAACGCAUUGUUGUAAAAACAUAUAAAAUUUGCGCAUAUUUAAAUAUAUAUAAGCUAUUUAUUUAUAUACAUUAUCUUAGUUAGUAUAUGCGUAUAAAUAUACUUAUAUUUAAUAUUUAUUUUGCAGAGUCCAAUGUCUGUUAGGGUGCAUUUAAAUACUUUAUCUAUACAAACAUUUAUUUUUUUACAUACAAUUAAUUUUCGCCGCAAAGUUUUUAGUAUUUUCUUUGCCUUCACAUUUUGAAAUAAUAAAUAUUAAAACUUAUAAGCAUAUAAGCAUAUAACCCUCUUGCACAUUUCAAAGUACUGCAAGUGCCCUCAUCCAGUGCAACAGUACCGUAACCACAAUAUCAACCAAACACUUUAACCCUUACGCUCCGCCAGGACCCCGAAAUGGCAUGUGAUUUUUUUAUGCAUAUUUUUUAUAAUUUUGCAACUUUCUCUUAUUAACUUUUUUUUUAAAUUUUUCUCAAAUAUUUUCAUUCCCUUACGAAAUUUCUCCCGUUUACCGCCCGCAUACGUUUACUCUAUGUUUUUUGCAGUUUCUUCCCCUCAAAGUAAAUAGAAAAUAAUUAUUAUUAAAUUGUUUUGCCUGUUUGUAUAUAAUAAAUUGUUGAUAUAAAAAGUGCAUAAAAUAUUUGCAAAAUGUUUUCCAAAAUGUUUGUGAAAUUUAAAACGAAAUGAUAUGAAAUUUAAGUUCCAACGGAUUUUCGCAGUUCGCUAGAAUCCGUUAAAAAAUAUUGCAAUUUACUGGCAACGGAAGUGCAGUAACAACAACAUUAGCGUGUAGCUAGCAAUUAAAUUUCAGAGUAACCCCAAAUGCCCGAAGCUCUGACACUGCCCGGCAUGGCUGAUGCGGAGCCAGAUUUGUCAACGUUCGAGAAUAAGACCGGCUUAGCCGAGGAUAUGAAAUUUCUGGCAUCGAUGCCAGAGUUGUGCGAUGUGACAUUUUUAGUUGGAGAUACGCGUGAACCAGUAUGCGCGGUUAAGGCUGUUUUGGCAUCACGUUCGCGUGUCUUCGCAAAAAUGCUGUACUCGGCGCCAUCGCCGCAACGUAAACGUGAAGCAUCGACCAAAGAGAAUAAAUUGCGGCUUUUCCUUAAGCGCUCAUCGGAGCCACUGUUGAAUCUACAAAAUGCGGCACAACAGCCGGCUGGACAGCAACAUCAGACCUUGAUUAUUGAGGAGUUCGAACCGGAUGUUUUCAGGCAACUGAUAGAGUACAUACACACCGGUUGUGUGACGUUGCAGCCGAGAACACUUUUAGGCGUCAUGAACGCGGCAGAUUAUUAUGGCUUGGAGGAAUUGCGGCGCGCUUGUGCUGGCUUUGUGCAGUGUUGCAUCAAUGUGGACACUGUCUGUGCGUUGCUUGCGUCUGCCGAACGUUACAUCCAAUACAAGUGUACCAAGAGUCUCGUACAAAAAGUGCUGGAGUUUGUGGACGAGCAUGGUAAUGAGGUACUUAAUUUGGGCAGCUUUACGUUGCUGCCACAGCAUGUGGUACGUCUAAUAUUGGCGCGUGAGGAGUUGCGCGCCGACGAGUUUACUAAGUUUCAAGCGGCACUGAUGUGGAGUAAGAAGUAUUUCGACAACAAUCCGAAUAUUGAUAUGAAGGAGAUUUUAGGCAACUUUCUGGAGUACAUUCAGUUCCACAAAAUUCCGGCGAAUGUACUGAUGCGUGAGAUACAUCCACUGGGUUUGGUGCCAUACUCGAUCAUUAUGAACGCUUUGGCCUAUCAGGCAGACCCAGAAAGCAUCGACCCCGGAAAGCUGUCUCCCAACUCUAGUCGAGUGAGGCGUGCGCGUCAAAAUCAAGGCAGAUCGAUGUCCGUACAGAGUUCCUUGGACCCCUACGGUUCGAAUACAACAUUGAGUUCAAGCGGCAGCAGCGACCCCACCAGCGGCCCGCACAAUAGCAACUAACAUAAGUUGAACGGCCCCUCCUCCUCUUCCACCCACCAUUCAUCCUCGCAUGGCCGUCAUAAGCACCAUCAAUCAUUACCAAAAAUUCGCAAAGCCAAAUCACAGAGUUUCCGCACCCGACGCAGUCCAUCUGAGCGCCGUAGCCCAAAUGCCGCACCAAUGUUUGGUCAAGCGGCAAAUUUGACAUUAAACACCGCCCAAUUGGCGGCCAAUGAUAAGAAACGUAGCCCACUUACACCAAAGAGUCCCAUACUACCACAACCUGAAUCGAAAAGUCCGGGCAGUACUUCACAGAAAACGCCGACAACAUUAUCCCGACAGGGCACAUUACGUGCUUCACAUCGCCGCAAGAACAGUAUGACUGGAUCAUUAGUGCUAGUUCAAGGGCGUCGCAGUCCAGUAGGCUUUAAUGACCGCAGUCCGCAAGGACGUCGCAGUCCACUGAUUAUGUCCAAUGAUCGCCUCAAGUCACCGAAUGAGUUGCCUGUACAGCCUAUGUUCGGUUUGGGGCUGCAUAGUCCGACCGCGCGUAGUCCUACAGGAGGUGCACGUAGUCCGACGCUAAGCAUGCAUACACAGGAACGACGAUCGCCCAUCGGUGCCGCGGCGCCUGUAGAAUUUGGCCAGCCACGUCGCAGUCCCACUUCAACUGUGCAUGUGCAGGAUGCACACUAUGAAGAGGGGGAGGCUGAUGAGAAUGGUUUAGUGCGUUCAAGCAGUGGCAUAAAGCGGCCAUCAAUCAAUCUUUUCACACCUAUUUAUUUCGGUGGCGAUAAACGUAGUCCCCUAACAGCUAUGCCUAUACCACCAAUCACUGUAUCCAAUCCAACGGAAACUGGCAGAUUAGCUGAAAAAAUUGCAGAAUCAAAUGCAGCGGCCGAAGCGGCACGCGAACUGGAAAGGCAACGUGAAGAACAAGAGAAACAAGAAGCGGCAGCCGCGGCUAAAGAAUCAACACCUGAGAAAAAAGAACGCACAAGUGUUAUGAAGGAAAUACUUGCCUUUGUACGUAAGCCAUCUAAGCAUAUUUCUACGCGUACUAAUCGUUUCGCUCAUGCUUUCACACGUGCCGAGUCUGGCUCGUCAUCAGGCCCGUUGAUUAGACAGAGUACUUUCUCAGCUAGUCCGGCCGCUUCAUCAACUGCUGCGAAAAGUGCGGUCGUUAAGCAAAUGUCCGAAGUUGCAUUCGAACCGAAGAUGUCAUUGAAAUUCGCACACUACGCAAAAAUGUCACUAAAAUUACGUCGAUCUGCCAACGACGAAAAGGCGAAGCAAGCAGCUGCAGCCAGCACAUCGAAGCGCGCCAGCGCCGACUCUAAUUUCAGUAGUAGCGGCUUGGAUCCACAUGAUGCACAGUUCUAGAACACAGCACAUCACUACACUAUCAGCCAACAAUUGUUUAUAAAUGUUAACAAAAACAAAAAAAUAUUUACAAUUGUGAAAAAUUACUAUAGCAAGAGUAUAAAGAACGCAAACAGUAAACAAAUUUUACAGUAUAUAUAUAAAGACCUAAAAUAAUUAUGAAAAAUAUUAGAAAAAUAGUUUAAAAUCAAAUGUUUAUCGUUUAACAGAAAUUUAUAGUAAAAUAUACACAAAUAAAUAAUGAAAUGUUGUAUUAGUUUGUUUUGCCAAACCACACGCUUCAGUUUAGUAAAUUGAACUUGUCGAAAUUUUUCAAACAAAUUUCAAAAACAUGCGCCUAAAUGUAGACUACAACAUUGGCACGCUUCUCACGUAGUGUUUUGCUUGAGCUAAGCUUGUUUAGGCUAGUUGCCUGCUGUAGUGCACUUUUCGGCUAAUUCGCUUAUGAGCAAGCUGAAUGCUUAAUAAGUUCAGUUCUUGUUCAUUUUAUUUGUGUGUAAAAUUUGGAAAAUUGCUUGGGCUGCAAGUAGCUGCUAUUAUUCUUUUGUUUUGAUAUUUUAAACGCAAUUUACUUUGUAGUGUGCAUUGCUGUGGUAUUUAUUCUUAUUUAGUUGAUCGAAUAAUAUAUAAAUAUAUUUCUUUUUGCUAGAAAAUUCAAUCUCUUAUAAAAGCUAAGCAAGAUCAUAUUAUUUGUAUUAUUUUUUUUGAUGAUUUAAAAAACUUUAGUUUAUUUAAUAAGAUUAAUACUUUUUUCUUUGGAUUUGCCAAACCUGUCGAAGUGGCGAAUCGAAGGUACAAUAGCUCGUAUUAAUUUAUUUGAUACGAUUUUACUUUAUUUAUUUAUUUUAUUUCAUUUAGUUUUAUUAUAUUAAAUUCGUCUCUAAGAUUGUAACAACUAAAAGGAAACUUCGACCCUUUAAAUUAUAUAUUAUGUAACUAUAAUUCAUAAACUUGAUGAGCUGAGUCAACUUACCCAGUUCCGUCUGUCCGUCGUCUGUUUGUCUGUAUAUAUGUGAACUAGUUUUUCGGCUUUUUAGAUAUAAAGCUGAAAGUUUACACAGGACCUUUUAUUUUUAAGAAGUAAAAUCAAGUCCUUGUAUGGAUAACCUUUUUAUUUGACGAGAUAUCUUCAAGAUAUUUAGCUGGAGUUAUUUUGCAAAACAAUUAUACAAUUGCCGCAAAAAUUGUUCAGAUCGAACAAUUAUAAAAUAUAGCUGUUAUACAAAAUGAACUAUCGAAGCAAGUGCUUGUAAGGAAAACCUUUUCAGUUGAGAAGAUAUAUUCACGAAAUUUGACAUAUAUUUUUUUUCACGGCAGUGUUACAAUCUGCGAACAAAUUGCUUAGAUCGGACAACUAUAACAGAUAGCUGCCAUAAACUGAACGAUAAAAAUCAAGUUAUCAAGUUAUUAUUUCUUUUGUUUAUUUAUUUAAAUUUAAUAGAUUAUAGAAGAUUAAGUCCUUGUAUUUUAUUCUGUUUUAUUUUACUUAAUUUCGUUUUAUAUUAUUUUAUUUUACUUAAUUUAAUUUAAUCUUAUUUUAUUUAAUUAAAUUUUAUUUAAUUUGAUUAAAUUUUCCUUUUUUUUAUUUAAUUUUAUUUAUUUUAAUUUAAUUUAAUUUAAUUUUGUUUUGUUUUAUUUUAUUUUAAUUACUUUUUUUAUUUUAUUAUAAUUUAAUUUAUUUUACAUAAUUUUAUUUUUUUACCUGAUUUUAUUUUAUUUUAUAUAAUUUUAUUUUAUAUAACUUUAUUUUAUAUUUAUCUAAAUAUUAUCUAUUUAAUAUAUUUUUGUUUUGCAAUUAUAACAUGUUUUAUUAGCAUUUCCAAUUAUAAUAAAAAAGUGAGGUUACAAGGAGUUCAUAAAACUAAUAAUUCUGCAUUUGCAACACAAAAUCUGCUUUCAAAACACAUUUGUCUGUCGUCGUAGACCAUUUUUGUACAUAAACAAUUUAUAAAACAUGAAUUCUCCUUCUAUUUGCAGACAAGCAAAUUUUCCAAUCAAAUUUGUUGCUGGAAAAACGUGUGGACUAUUAUUAUUUUGCUUAUAUAUAUUAUAACAGUAAACAAAAGUAGCAAUAACUCUCUAAUUGUAAAAUAUUCCAUAAAAAAAAAAUUGUUUAAUAACGGUAAUUUUAAAUUGAAACGUAAACUAACAGAGAAAAAUAUAUCAUAAAAAUAAAAAAUGGCUACAACCAAUUUAAAUCAUAGUUGUUAUUCUAAAAGUUUGAUUGGCAGCCGUUAAAACUGUAAAUAACUGUUUAUGUGUAAAUUUAUUAAAUAAUAAAAAUUAUUGUUACUUCACAGUUCAUAACCAAAAAAAUCAAAAAAAAAAAAAAAAAAAUUUUGACUCUGCGUUUUGUAUUUUACCCUGUUAAUUGACAUCGUCGUUGUUGUUGGCGUACUGAUUUAGCAACUUAGCUAUAAAGUGAGAGUAACAAAAAAAUCAAAGUAGGAAAAGUAUGUACAUGAAAAUAAAAGUUGGAAUACUAAGAUUGCCAAUAUAAAAUUUAUUUAUAUAACUCAAAAUUCACACAAAUAGUGACGAAUCGUAUUUGUAAGUGAGAGCAAGAUCGCAGGUUUUAGGUACUGGGAAUUUGCUUUGCGGAAAACUCAUAAAUAUUUAUUUCAUAAAAUCUCAUAACAAAAUAUACACACAUUUAUAUAUAUAUAUAUAUUAUAGAGUUGGUAAUGAAGAAUGUAACAGUAAAUACAAUAUUAAAAAAAAAAUUUAAAAAGAAGGUAUGUAAUUAAGAGUAGAUAUAUUUUAAAAAUCAUUAAAGGAGCAUCAAAGCCCUACACUUUAUCACCAUUGUAAUGAAAAAUGGUUUAUUGAAAGUAUUAUUAUGAAAUUAUGCAAUACUUUAUAUGUAUUUAUGGAUAACUAUUGACGAAGCUGUGCUGAAAUUACAACAAAAACAAAAAUAACUCAAAUGUAUGUUUUUUGAAGCAAAUAAAAUUUUGUCGUUUUUAAAUG